UGGGGAAUAUUGCACAAUGGGGGAAACCCUGAUGCAGCGACGUCGCGUGAGCGAAGAAGGCCUUCGGGUCGUAAAGCUCUGUCCUAUGGGAAGAAAAGGACGGUACCAUAGAAGGAAGCCCCGGCUAACUACGUGCCAGCAGCCGCGGUAAUACGUAGGGGGCGAACGUUAUCCGGAAUGAUUGGGCGUAAAGGGUACGUAGGCGGCUUUUUAAGUCAGGUGUGAAAGGCAUGGGCUCAACCCAUGUAAGCACUUGAAACUGGGAAGCUUGAGGGAAGGAGAGGAAAGUGGAAUUCCUAGUGUAGCGGUGAAAUGCGUAGAUAUUAGGAGGAAUACCGGUGGCGAAGGCGACUUUCUGGACUUUUUCUGACGCUGAGGUACGAAAGCGUGGGGAGCAAACAGG
rnacentral:rRNA from 1 species